rnacentral:rRNA from 1 species
AUUGAACGCUGGCGGCAUGCUUUACACAUGCAAGUCGAACGGCAGCGCGGGCUUCGGCCUGGCGGCGAGUGGCGAACGGGUGAGUAAUGCAUCGGAACGUGCCCAGUAGUGGGGGAUAGCCCGGCGAAAGCCGGAUUAAUACCGCAUACGACCUGAGGGUGAAAGCGGGGGACCGAAAGGCCUCGCGCUAUUGGAGCGGCCGAUGUCGGAUUAGCUAGUUGGUGGGGUAAAGGCUUACCAAGGCGACGAUCCGUAGCUGGUCUGAGAGGACGACCAGCCACACUGGGACUGAGACACGGCCCAGACUCCUACGGGAGGCAGCAGUGGGGAAUGUUGGACAAUGGGGGCAACCCUGAUCCAGCCAUGCCGCGUGCGUGAAGAAGGCCUUCGGGUUGUAAACCGCUUUUGUUCGGGAAGAAAGCCUGUGGGCUAAUACCCCGGGGGGAUGACGGUACCGGAAGAAUAAGCACCGGCUAACUACGUG